rnacentral:rRNA from 1 species
UACGUGACCUGCGGAGGGAUCAUUA